GCAUCGAUGAAGAACGCAGCGAACUGCGAUAAGUAAUGUGAAUUGCAGAAUUCAGUGAAUCAUCGAGUCUUUGAACGCACAUUGCGCCCCCUGGCAUUCCGGGGGGCAUGCCUGUCCGAGCGUCAUUGCUGCCCAUCAAGCCCGGCUUGUGUGUUGGGUCGUCGUCCCUCCCGGGGGACGGGCCCGAAAGGCAGCGGCGGCACCGUGUCCGGUCCUCGAGCGUAUGGGGCUUUGUCACCCGCUCGACUAGGGCCGGCCGGGCGCCAGCCGACGUCUCCAACCAUUUUUCUUCAGGUUGACCUCGGAUCAGGUAGGGAUACCCGCUGAACUUAAGCAUAUCAAUAAGCGGAGGA
rnacentral:rRNA from 1 species